CUCUCCUCUUCGUUCUCAGAAUACAGUUCUCUUAAACCAGCCGUUUGGGGGGAAAUCCUUCAUCUAAUCGCUCAUUUUGGCCAAGGAUCCGUUUAAGAUCUGCAGCGACUGCUGACUGAAUGUGCAGGAUAACAAUAACAAGAGAGCAUCAGACGAUACAGAUACGAGAACUACGGCAGAAGAUUGAAACAAUGAUGAUGGAAAACAGAGGGGAAAUUAAACAAAUGAGGAGGAUACACAGCAUGGUCAGCAUUGUCAAUUUUUCAGGAGAGUCUCCAGAUGAGAUUGAUGUGAUCCCUGAGAGCAAAGACCAGACCAGACCGGUUCUGCUGGGAGAAACUGGAUCUGGGAAAAGUGCCACUGGAAACAGAAACCUGUUUGGAACUUGAGCCGGUUCAAACUCUUAAAUGAAACAGAGCAGCUCAGAUGCAUCUCAAUCAUUAAAAACAGCUAAGAAAAACCUAAAAUGCUUCAAAUGAAAAACAUAUGAGGUGCCUUAAUGUACUAAAACUGAUCUUACAGGUUCUAAAUCCGAAUAUUGAUGAUGCUUACUUUUUAAAGGUGAGCAGAUAUAUAGAAUAUAAAGUCAAGUCACCUUUAUUUGUAUAGCGCUUUAUACAAACUGAUUGUGUCAAAGCAGCUUUACAGUGUCAAACAGGAAAAGAGUUUGUCAGUGAUGAAAGAAGACAGUAACCAGCUCAAGUCAGUUCAUCGAUGAUCCUCCAGUUCUCUUCAGUAGUGUAUGUGUGAGAAACCAGACUCAGUUGGGGGUCAGUUCUCCUCUGGCCAGACAAAACAGCAUGAUGUGCUUUAAUUCCAGCCUGCAGCACAGGUGCAGCGGACUCGUCUGGGUCUUGUGUAAAAUAGUUCAGUGGUUUCUAUGAAUAUGUGUAACUGCUGUAGUUUCCUUUCUGAAGCAUGGAUCACCAGCAAACCCUGGAGGCUGUAAAACAUGUUAUUGGGGCCCGAGGAGAAACAGAAGAUGUGUGAAAUUCAGUAAGAAUAAUCAUUCAUGAUGCAUCAGAAGCUCAUUGAAGCUCUCACAGCUUCAGCUUGUUAACAUGAUUGUUUAAAAUAAUGAAGCUGAUAUAUUUUAUUUAGAUGAUUCAUGUA